GCUUUCUUUGCUGAGAGUGGCGGACGGGUGAGUAAUGCUUGGGGAUCUGGCUUAUGGAGGGGGAUAACGACGGGAAACUGUCGCUAAUACCGCGUAAUGUCUAAGGACUAGAGGGUGGGACUUUCGGGCCACCUGCCAUAAGAUGAGCCCAAGUGGGAUUAGGUAGUUGGUGGGGUAAAGGCCUACCAAGCCGACGAUCUCUAGCUGGUCUGAGAGGAUGACCAGCCACACUGGAACUGAGACACGGUCCAGACUCCUACGGGAGGCAGCAGUGGGGAAUAUUGCACAAUGGGGGGAACCCUGAUGCAGCCAUGCCGCGUGGAUGAAGAAGGCCUUCGGGUUGUAAAGUUCUUUCGGUGAUGAGGAAGGGUGAUGUUUUAAUAGAGCAUUACAUUGACGUUAGUCACAGAAGAAGCACCGGCUAACUCCGUGCCAGCAGCCGCGGUAAUACGGAGGGUGCGAGCGUUAAUCGGAAUGACUGGGCGUAAAGGGCACGCAGGCGGUGACUUAAGUGAGAUGUGAAAGCCCCGAGCUUAACUUGGGAAUUGCAUUUCAUACUGGGUGGCUAGAGUAUUUUAGGGAGGGGUAGAAUUCCACGUGUAGCGGUGAAAUGCGUAGAGAUGUGGAGGAAUACCGAAGGCGAAGGCAGCCCCUUGGGAAAAUACUGACGCUCAUGUGCGAAAGCGUGGGGAGCA
rnacentral:rRNA from 1 species